rnacentral:rRNA from 1 species
CCUGGCUCAGGACGAACGCUGGCGGCGUGCUUAACACAUGCAAGUCGAACGAAGCUUGAUUACGGAUUCUUCGGAUGAAGUAUGAUAUGACUGAGUGGCGGACGGGUGAGUAACGCGUGAGUAACCUGCCCUUCAGAGGGGGAUAGCGUUUGGAAACGAACGGUAAUACCGCAUAAUGUAUUUUGACCGCAUGAUCGAAAUACCAAAGAUUUAUCGCUGAAGGAUGGACUCGCGUCUGAUUAGGUAGUUGGUGGGGUAACGGCCUACCAAGCCGACGAUCAGUAGCCGGACUGAGAGGUUGAUCGGCCACAUUGGGACUGAGACACGGCCCAGACUCCUACGGGAGGCAGCAGUGGGGAAUAUUGCACAAUGGGCGCAAGCCUGAUGCAGCAACGCCGCGUGAAGGAAGACGGUUUUCGGAUUGUAAACUUCUGUUCUUAGUGAAGAAUAAUGACGGUAGCUAAGGAGCAAGCCACGGCUAACUACGUGCCAGCAGCCGCGGUAAUACGUAGGUGGCAAGCGUUGUCCGGAAUUACUGGGUGUAAAGGGAGCGCAGGCGGGUGAUCAAGUCAGCUGUGAAAACUACGGGCUUAACCGUAGACUGCAGUUGAAACUGUUCAUCUUGAGUGAAGUAGAGGUUGGCGGAAUUCCGAGUGUAGCGGUGAAAUGCGUAGAUAUUCGGAGGAACACCGGUGGCGAAGGCGGCCAACUGGGCUUUAACUGACGCUGAGGCUCGAAAGUGUGGGGAGCAAACAGGAUUAGAUACCCUGGUAGUCCACACUGUAAACGAUGAUUGCUAGGUGUGGGGGGUCUGACCCCUUCCGUGCCGGAGCUAACGCAAUAAGCAAUCCACCUGGGGAGUACGACCGCAAGGUUGAAACUCAAAGGAAUUGACGGGGACCCGCACAAGCAGUGGAUUAUGUGGUUUAAUUCGAAGCAACGCGAAGAACCUUACCAGCACUUGACAUCCAACUAACGAAAUAGAGAUAUAUUAGGUGCCCUUCGGGGAAAGUUGAGACAGGUGGUGCAUGGUUGUCGUCAGCUCGUGUCGUGAGAUGUUGGGUUAAGUCCCGCAACGAGCGCAACCCUCGCCAUUAGUUGCUACGCAAGAGCACUCUAAUGGGACCGCUACCGACAAGGUGGAGGAAGGUGGGGACGACGUCAAAUCAUCAUGCCCCUUAUGUGCUGGGCUACACACGUAAUACAAUGGCCAUCAACAGAGAGAAGCAAUACCGCGAGGUGGAGCAAAACUUCAAAAAUGGUCUCAGUUCGGACUGCAGGCUGCAACCCGCCUGCACGAAGUUGGAAUUGCUAGUAAUCGUGGAUCAGCAUGCCACGGUGAAUACGUUCCCGGGUCUUGUACACAC